UACGAACCGUCCUAACGUUAUUCGGAAUCACUGGGCUUAAAGGGUGCGUAGGCGGCCCGAUAAGUUGGGUGUAAAAUCCCUCGGCUCAACCGAGGAAUUGCGCUCAAAACUGUCGGGCUUGAGGAAGAUAGAGGUAAGCGGAACUUAGGGUGGAGCGGUGAAAUGCGUUGAUAUCCUAAGGAACACCGGUGGCGAAAGCGGCUUACUGGGUCUUUACUGACGCUGAGGCACGAAAGCUAGGGUAGCGAACGGG
rnacentral:rRNA from 1 species